rnacentral:rRNA from 1 species
CCUACGGGUGACAGCAGUAGGGAAUAUUGCUCAAUGGGGGAAACCCUGAAGCAGCAACGCCGCGUGGGGGAUGAAGGGUUUCGGAUUGUAAACCCCUUUUGGUAGGGAAGAUAAUGGCGGUAUCUAACGAAUAAGCCCCCGCUAACUCCGUGCCAGCAGCCGCGGUAAUACGGAGGGGGGAAGCGUUACUCGGAAUCACUGGGCGUAAAGGGCGCGUAGGCGGGAUAGCAAGUCAGAUGUGAAAUCCUAUGGCUUAACCAUAGAACUGCAUUUGAAACUGUUAUUCUAGAGUUUGGGAGAGGUAGGUGGAAUGCGUGGUGUAGCGGUAAAAUGCGUAGAUAUCAAGAGGAAUACUCAUUGCGAAGGCGACCUGCUAGAACAUAACUGACGCUGAUGCGCGAAAGCGUGGGGAGCAAACAGGAUUAGAUACCCCUGUAGUC